rnacentral:rRNA from 1 species
GUAGCGGGGGGGGCGAAGCGUUGUUCGGAAUUACUGGGCGUAAAGGGCUCGUAGGCGGCCAACUAAGUCAGACGUGAAAUCCCUCGGCUUAACCGAGGAACUGCGUCUGAUACUGGAAGGCUUGAAUCCGGGAGAGGGAUGUGGAAUUCCAGGUGUAGCGGUGAAAUGCGUAGAUAUCUGGAGGAACACCGUGGCGGAGGACGGCGAUCCUGGACCGGUAUUGACGCUGAGGCGCGAAAGCUAGGGGAGCAAACGGG